GACGAACGCUGGCGGCGUGCUUAACACAUGCAAGUCGAACGGAAAGGCCCUUCCUUGCUGGCGAAUUCGAGUGGCGAACGUGACAGUUACGUGUGGGGCACUUGCCCUGCACUUUGGGAUAAGCCAGGGGAACUGGUUCCAAUACUGGUCAUGAGCUUUCUCGUCGGUGGGUGUGGUGGUAAGUGUUUCGGUGUGGGAUGGGCCCGCGGCCUAUCAGCUUGUUGGUGGGGUGAUGGCCUAGCAAGGCGACGACGGGUAGCCGGCCUGAGAGGGUGACCGGCCACACUGGGACUGAGAUACGGCCCAGACUCCUACGGGAGGCAGCAGUGGGGAAUAUUGCACAAUGGGCGCAAGCCUGAUGCAGCGACGCCGCGUGAGGGAUGACGGCCUUCGGGUUGUAAACCUCUUUCAGCACAGACGAAGCGCAAGUGACGGUAUGUGCAGAAGAAGGACGGGCCAGCUACGUG
rnacentral:rRNA from 1 species